rnacentral:rRNA from 1 species
UUGAUCGCAAUGGGCGCAAGCCUGACGACGCAACGCCGCGUGGGGGAUGAAGGUCUUCGGAUUGUAAACCCCUGUCGAGCGGGACGAAUGGCCCGUGAUUGAAUAGAUCGCGGGAAUGACGGUACCGCUAAAGGAAGCCACGGCUAACUCUGUGCCAGCAGCCGCGGUAAUACAGAGGUGGCAAGCGUUGUUCGGAAUUACUGGGCGUAAAGGGCGCGUAGGCGGCCUUCUAAGUCAGACGUGAAAUCCCCCGGCUCAACCUGGGAACUGCGUCUGAUACUGGAGGGCUUGAAUGCGGGAGAGGGAUGCAGAAUUCCAGGUGUAGCGGUGAAAUGCGUAGAUAUCUGGAGGAAUACCGGUGGCGAAGGCGGCAUCCUGGACCGACAUUGACGCUGAGGCGCGAAAGUUAGGGUAGC